UACGUAGGGGGCAAGCGUUGUCCGGAUUCAUUGGGCGUAAAGAGCGUGUAGGCGGCCAGGUAGGUCUGCUGUGAAAACUCGAGGCUCAACCUCGAGACGUCGGCGGAAACCAUCUGGCUAGAGUCCGGAAGAGGAGAGUGGAAUUCCUGGUGUAGCGGUGAAAUGCGCAGAUAUCAGGAAGAACACCCGUGGCGAAGGCGGCUCUCUGGAACGCAACUGACGCUGAGACGCGAAAGCGUGGGGAGCAAACAGG
rnacentral:rRNA from 1 species